UAGCCAUUUGUGCGUUCCCUCCCCCAAUCUCGUCGUUCUCCUUCCGCCGUCGCCGCCGCCUCCCCAUAUCACGCUCUCCUCGGCUGUGAGCUCGGCCCGGCGCCGCCGGUGGAGCGACGAGGCGUGAGCGCGCGGGAGAGGCGCCGCUGGUGGAGCACAGCGCGUGGGAGCGGCGCGCCGGUCGACCGCGCAGGAGAGGCGCCCGCGAUGGACCGCAAUGCCGCGGGAGCAACGCGCCGGUGGAGCGACGAUGUCGAGCGGGAGCGCCGCCGCCCGUGGACACAUCGGCCUAUUCCCGCAGCCCUCCUCUCACCUUGGCGGCGGCGGCUCCCCACGCCCUCCUCUCCCGUGAGGCGCGACGCCCUCUUGGGUCGACGGCGCGGCGCCCGGUCCUGCAAUGGGUUCGUGCAUGGUGGUGGAGAUGUACAAGGCAUCGAUUCUGGAGCUCUGGAUGACGGCGCGGGUGUUGGGGCAGAGGUAGGUGGAGAUCUUCUCAAAUCGUGGCGACGCCGGAGUCUUGGCGGCUCGUCACCAGACCUCGCCGGCGGGCAAAGGUCUCUGCUGCAGCUCACGCCGUCUUCGUUCGUUUCUGACCAAGGGUUGCGUUUUUUCUCAAAUUAUUUUGGUACACCUGUGUUGUGAAAGAAGAAGAAAAGUUCUACAGUUGAUUGGACCCAAAUCUAGCAGGUAAUGGUUAGAACUAUUUCAGAUAUGAAUCAUAGUGCAAGCUAGGGAUCUUUCUCUUCGUGUUUCUGAGAUUUUCUUCCAGUAUCUCUUUAUCGGGGCUGUGGAAAUCCUAAUCGGUAGUUGCUGCAGUGAAGUUAUGGAAGAAGAAGAAGAUGAUAUACAUAAGAUUUGUUCCAAAUAUAGCAGGUGAUAGGUUCUCAAAACUAUUGCUUGCUGAUACAGUUUCAAAUAAUUAUCUUGGCGCUGAGAUUGUUUCACACUAUGUAUCUUAUGGAGCAAGUACGAUAGAGAUCAUCAGGCAUCUCAUAUCACACCGAAGAAAAAUGGAAGCCUCGAUAUAUCUGCUCUAUUCUUUGGGGCAUUGAGACGGUAUCUUCCAGCCCCACUCUUCUGUGCCUAUGUGGAUGGUUGUUUUGAUCAAAUGGUACUAUAUUAUAUCCAUAUCCUCUAGCCACGCAUGUUCGUUUUACCAUCACUGUGAGAAGAUUAGCCCUUCAUAGUGGUGGUGGUGGUUGGAGGUGAAGGCAAGGUUGUUUUUCUUGAUGAUUUUUCAUUUGUUAAUGAACAAGACUCUGAACAUAUUUAGUUCAUGCCUUUCUAUCUUAUAGCAGUGUAAAGGAACCUCUUGCAGGAUUGUUUCCAAAUACAUAGAUAGGGAUUUAUUUGCACACAAACUUGGUAAGUUCAGUCUGGUUGGUGAUUGUGGCGCUUAGCAUACAGAGCACGACCGGUGUUGUUUCGUCACAUUGAGACAAGGUGAUGGUAUCUUCCUCCAUAUUAGGUGAUGUCCUUUCUGAAUCCUCUCUGUGAUGCCAAUAUUGAUGCAUAAGGUCGUUGAUAAUUUGGCGAUAUUAUAUAAUGGAUUGCAGGUGACUAACUCAACUAUAUUUAGGUGUACAAAAAAUAUAUAGAGCAAGUUGAUUUUACGGAAUUAGUUGUUGCUAAUUGAGAAAGGCUAAGUGGCUUACCUGAGAUGUUGCACAUUGUUAUGAUCGAUGGUUACACUUCGUUUUCUGAAGAAAAUUCUACCAAACCAAAACAAAAUACAGAACUCCACAUACACUUAAGCUAGCAGUUGUUUCUCUUUGUUAACUCUAACUAUUGAGCGGUAACGUAUAGUCACAGUGCAGGCCGCCUACCGACGGGCCUCCGCUUGCUGCAGCUUCUCUGUGGCUUCAUCCUUUCCCUGACUCGGUCUUCUGCAGAUCGAGAUGGACAACAUCUGAAUUUUAUCGGGGGUUGGAAGGCCAAGGAGAACGAGAAGGAAGUCGCAGCCUUGGAUGCCAGAGUGAAAAGUGACGUCGACACCGGUGAUAAUUUUAUUGGGGAUUGGAAGGCCAAGGAGAACGAGAAGGAAGCCGCAGCCUUGGAUGCCACAGUGAAAAGUGACAUCGACACCGGUGAUAAGGAACUCCCAAAAUUUCUCCCGCGCCGGUUCUUUCUUCGCCAUCUUCUCUCCAUAUCACUGUGAUAUUUUCCCUGCCUUACAUAGGUUUAUACAUGAUGACUGGUACAUGAGCAUCCUAAUUAUCACUAAUUAUUUUGGUGGUCAAACCAAUUGUGUGUAGCCAUGUACUAAACCUGGUAUUUCCUCAUAUCAGUGUGUAAAUAAGCGAAUUUUAACAUUCCCCAAAAUUUGCUGCAUGCCUAUACUAAAUCAGUGGUAUUUACUAGGCUAUUGGAUUUUAUGUUAUUUUAAUUUUUUGCAUUCACUACAAUAUUAUUUUUCUGCAUUUCGGCUUACUUGUGUUAUAGGUAUUAAUUGGUGAUCUUAUAUUUAUUUAUUGUGGUUCCUAUGUUUCUUGAUAGGUGCAUGAUGCAUGUGUCUGCUAUCUUGAAUAUCAGUGAGAAUUGUAUGUCCGCAAGGUUUUCUUAUUCGAUAAUUCCAUCUGGUGUUUGAUUUUGAGAUGCGAAGCUCCGUUAUGUUGCCUCGUCUUAUAUUUUUUCCUUCCUGUGUACUUGUCUGCUGGUCUCAUUUUGGAAUGUCUCACGUCCUUGUAUUUGUUGCCCCUUCAGGUACCAACUUUAUGCUCAGAUUUUUUUACCUUUGGUUUUCAUAUUUUAGUUUUCUCUAAUGGCUUGAACUCCUCGCCUUUGCAUAGGUUGAGUUGUUUAUUCAUAACUAUGUGACAAUAUUUGGAUAAUUUGACCACCUUUAUAUUUUUCUAAUCACCAUUACUUCACAGAUAUCAUGAUCAAGAAGUGAACUCUCAAAAGGCAUUCUGAUUUUCAAAUGUCCUCUCUUGAAAAAUUCUUAUGGUAAUUUGGUCAUUCUAGGUGCAGGAAGAGUAGUGUUCUCAAGCUAUUAAGAUUGUUUCCUUUAAAUGGUAAUUGUUAUAUGGUUUUAUUUUCUAAUUGAUCAGAUAAAUAGGUUGUAUACUGAAGGGGUGAGAUCAGGUGUCUUCCCUGUUUAUGUACUAUUGUGAGUGACUUCAUUCUUUUUGGAGCUCUCUUGGACAAACAAUUAGAGAUCAAGAAUAUGUUCUCGUGAAAACAUUGUUUCCUGACAUCCAACGGAUCACUAGAGGUGGGUGUUCAAGAUCUCAAUAGUCGCUUGGGGCCAUUCAAUACGUAGUAGUAGUUUGGACAUUGUGGACUUCUUGAGUCAAAUGCUCUUUAUGGAAAGUAUAGAAACAUGGAAAUUUAGAAGGGUAUUUGGAAGGGUGGUUCCAGCUGCAGCUUACAUGUCACUGGGCUUGCAAUGCUCAAUGCAUCCGAAUUAUUUUGCUUCAGGUUUAAACCAUAGCAUUCUCUCCGUCAUAUACAUCAUUCUAUUGGAGAAGUCCCAGUCUACUUCCUUCGAGCAAGCAGUGUAUAGGUUGUUGACCUUAGUUCAUAGUAAGACAUGUUUAUUAAUGAAGAUUUACAUAUUGUUUCACUGACAUGUAUUAAUAAAGAUUUACAUAUUGUUUCGUC